UGGGGAAUUUUGGACAAUGGCGAAAGCCUGAUCCAGCAAUGCCGCGUGUGUGAAGAAGGCCUUCGGGUUGUAAAGCACUUUUGUCCGGAAAGAAAUCCUUGGCUCUAAUACAGUCGGGGGAUGACGGUACCGGAAGAAUAAGCACCGGCUAACUACGUGCCAGCAGCCGCGGUAAUACGUAGGGUGCAAGCGUUAAUCGGAAUUACUGGGCGUAAAGCGUGCGCAGGCGGUUUGCUAAGACCGAUGUGAAAUCCCCGGGCUCAACCUGGGAACUGCAUUGGUGACUGGCAGGCUAGAGUAUGGCAGAGGGGGGUAGAAUUCCACGUGUAGCAGUGAAAUGCGUAGAGAUGUGGAGGAAUACCGAUGGCGAAGGCAGCCCCCUGGGCAAUACUGACGCUCAUGCACGAAAGCGUGGGGAGCAAACAGGAUUAGAUACCCUGGUAGUCCACGCCCUAAACGAUGUCAACUAGUUGUUGGGGAUUCAUUUCCUUAGUAACGUAGCUAACGCGUGAAGUUGACCGCCUGGGGAGUACGGUCGCAAGAUUAAAACUCAAAUGAAUUG
rnacentral:rRNA from 1 species